rnacentral:tRNA from 2 species
ACUCUAAUAGUUUAUAAAAACAUUGG